UACGGAGGGUGCGAGCGUUGUCCGGAAUCAUUGGGCGUAAAGGGCGCGUAGGUGGCUUCUCAAGCGUGCGGUGAAAGCCUGGGGCUCAACCCCGGGUCGGCCGUGCGAACUGGGGGGCUGGAGCACUGUAGAGGCAGGCGGGAAUUCCGGGUGUGAGCGGUGGGAAUGACGUAGAUAUGCGGAGGAACGACCGGAAUGGCGCAAGG
rnacentral:rRNA from 1 species